GACGAACGCUGGCGGCGUGCCUAAUACAUGCAAGUUGAGCGCUGAAGGUUGGUACUUGUACCAACUGGAUGAGCAGCGAACGGGUGAGUAACGCGUGGGGAAUCUGCCUUUGAGCGGGGGACAACAUUUGGAAACGAAUGCUAAUACCGCAUAAAAACUUUAAACACAAGUUUUAAGUUUGAAAGAUGCAAUUGCAUCACUCAAAGAUGAUCCCGCGUUGUAUUAGCUAGUUGGUGAGGUAAAGGCUCACCAAGGCGAUGAUACAUAGCCGACCUGAGAGGGUGAGCGGCCACAUUGGGACUGAGACACGGCCCAAACUCCUACGGGAGGCAGCAGUAGGGAAUCUUCGGCAAUGGACGAAAGUCUGACCGAGCAACGCCGCGUGGGAGAAGGAGGGUUUCGGAUCGUAAAACUCUGUUGGUAGAGAAGAACGUUGGUGAGAGUGGAAAGCUCAUCAAGUGACGGUAACUACCCAGAAAGGGACGGCUAACUACGUG
rnacentral:rRNA from 1 species